rnacentral:lncRNA from 1 species
UCCUUCAUGAACGACUUUGGAACCAUAUGAAACUAGUGAACAGGAAGUAGUUCCAGGAAUGUUAAGACACAGAAGAGGACAUAGAAAGCAUACCCACUUUGGCAGUCUUGGUCACAAGCAACUUAGGAUCUAUAGAAGGUGGGUACAGGAACAAGAAAUGUGUCAUCUUCAAAGUGUCUCCUAGUAAGAUAAACAUCUUGAUAGUUGAUAGUAUUAAGGACAACUAUAGUGUGGACAUGUUAAUAAAACUGCCAUAUCCAGCAUCAAAGAAGUACGUUAGUAUUUCCAUUGUUGCUAUGCCUGAUUUAGAAGCUGUAACCAUGGCAACCUAAUUAAUUGAGUAAUAAGAAACUAGCACUAGAAGAGGAAUUUGUUGUUCCACGCUCACUGAAUGAAAUGAGAAGCCAUAGUGCAUCAUGCCAACUUGAAAUGCAACCAUGUUUUAAACACAUCAUUGGAAUAUACAACUAAUUGCUCUCCUGUACUGUCUUCUGCUUCAAACAAGGACUAACAUGCUACAACAGGGUUUCACAUCUAGUUAGUUGGAUGGGGCACCAAUCUUGACUGCAAUCGCAACACAAAAGACACAGAAAGUUGUGGCAUACAGUGAACCGCGAUGACAUGACGUGUUAGGAUGUGAUACUUUGCUGAGAGACUGUAUAUGAAACUAAAUCUGGCAAAGGUGCAUAUCAUUCAUAUCAUGGGAACGAUAAAUUAAGUCAAAGGUUGAACAGAAUAAUGGUAGGUAUGGAUACUUCGCUUAACAGGUACACAUAGUAGCCUAGCCCCCAUGCUUUCAGUGCAGGGGAAGUCCUCAUGGCGUCACCUUGCCCAUCAAUUCGUCAAAAAUGUUCUCAACCUGCUGCGGUGCAUGCAAAAUUAGAGGAUAGACAUGAAGGUAAAAUAUUACUACUAGCCUACUAGGCCAGCCAUAUUGGAAUAAUUUAAAACUACUUAGUAGGUCUACUAUAAGAAACACAAGCUAUCAGGACAAAAUUCUAUCAUUCUUUGGACAAGGAACUGUAAGAACCCUCACCUUGUGUACAUUGGUCUUGCGUGCUGAAGAAGAGGAGGAAGAGCGCCGGACAAGUCCACAGCGGCCUGAAUCGAACGAAUUGGGCUUCGAAGGUGGAGCAAAACCAACUCUUCUCUCACGGGGGCUUAGUGACUCGACCACCACUCCGCUCCACUGGGAGUGCGACGAGGGAGGGGAGCGGCGCGCGGAGGAGCAUGGGUGGUGGUGGCGGCGGAACCGGCCGGCGGCCGCCACUGGGACGAGGGAGGGAUGGGGCUCGAAUGGGGUGGCUUGGCUGAAUCAAUGCGAGGAGAGGAGGUGGGAGGGAGAAAGGAGGAGAGAAUCUGGGAGAAGGCCGCAGGCCCGCAGCGCGGCGUGGCAGAGCUCGCCGGCGCCGGCGGGCGAAAAUGGGGAGUGGUGGCUCCACACGUACGUGGC